rnacentral:rRNA from 1 species
GACGAACGCUGGCGGCGUGCUUAACACAUGCAAGUCGAACGAAGUGGCGAACGGGUGAGUAACGCGUAAUCAACCUGCCCUUCAGGGGGGGACAACAGUUGGAAACGACUGCUAAUACCGCAUACUGAAGGAGGUGAUUGCGUCUGAUUAGCUAGGUGGAGGGGUAACGGCCCACCAAGGCGAUGAUCAGUAGGCGGUCUGGGAGGAGUAACGGCAACAGUGGGACUGAGACACGGCCCAGACGCCUACGGGAGGCAGCAGUGGGGAAUCUUUCGAAAUGGAAGAAAGUCUGACGGAGCAACGCCGCGUGAGGGAUGACGGCCUUCGGGUUGGAAAGCUCUGUUAAUCGGGACGCGGUACCGGAAUAGAAAGCCACGGCUAACUACGUGCCAGCCGCCGCGGUAAUAC